rnacentral:misc_RNA from 1 species
UCUCCUUGGUAAUUGCUAUUGCACUGACAGUAUUGAGUCCGGGAUCCUCAUUAUCCUCCCUGACAGAAAGCCGCUUUAUCUUUGAAAGGAAUAACAGAACUUCAGGAUGAAUGCUUGAAAGUUGCUGCUUCACAGCUUUCAUCUUGUCAGGCUUCAGAGGCAAGAUUAUUACCGUAGUAGGAAGGGAGGAACCGGGACCAUAUAUUUGCUUUAUAUCAUCAAGAGAUGGACUCUCCUCAACCCAUUCGGGAACUAUGAAUCCAAGCUUGCACUGUGGACAAGGCUUUUCAUUGAAGCGUAUCUGAUAGCCAUUACUGAAU